rnacentral:rRNA from 1 species
UACGUAGGGCGCAAGCGUUGUCCGGAAUUAUUGGGCGUAAAGAGCUCGUAGGCGGCCUGUUGCGUCCGCUGUGAAAUCCCGGGGCUCAACCCCGGGCCUGCAGUGGAUACGGGCUGGCUAGAGGCAGGCAGGGGAGAACGGAAUUCCUGGUGUAGCGGUGAAAUGCGCAGAUAUCAGGAGGAACACCGGUGGCGAAGGCGGUUCUCUGGGCCGGUACUGACGCUGAGACGCGAAAGCGUGGGGAGCGAACAGG